rnacentral:rRNA from 1 species
UACGGAGGAGGCAAGCGUUGUCCGGAAUUAUUGGGCGUAAAGGGCUCGUAGGCGGUUUGUCGCGUCGGGAGUGAAAAUCCAGGGCUUAACUCUGGACUGGCUUCCGAUACGGGCAGACUAGAGGUAUGCAGGGGAGAACGGAAUUCCUGGUGUAGCGGUGAAAUGCGCAGAUAUCAGGAGGAACACCGGUGGCGAAGGCGGUUCUCUGGGCAUUACCUGACGCUGAGGAGCGAAAGUGUGGGGAGCGAACAGG